GAUGAACGCUGGCGGCGUGCCUAAUACAUGCAAGUCGAGCGAACAGACGAGGAGCUUGCUCCUCUGACGUUAGCGGCGGACGGGUGAGUAACACGUGGAUAACCUACCUAUAAGACUGGGAUAACUUCGGGAAACCGGAGCUAAUACCGGAUAAUAUAUUGAACCGCAUUGUUCAUUAGUGAAAGACGGUUUUGCUGUCACUUAUAGAUGGAUCCGCGCCGCAUUAGCUAGUUGGUAAGGUAACGGCUUACCAAGGCAAUGAUGCGUAGCCGACCUGAGAGGGUGAUAGGCCACACUAGAACUGAGACACGGUCCAGACGCCUAAGGGAGGCAGCAGUAGGGAAUCUGACGCAAUAGGCGAAAGCAUGACGGAACAACGCCGCGUGAGUGAUAAAAGUCUUCGGAUCGUAAAAAUCUGUUAUUAGGGAAGAACAAAUGUGUAAGUAACUAUGCACGUCUUGACGGUACCUAAUCAGAAAGCCACGGCUAACUACGUG
rnacentral:rRNA from 1 species